rnacentral:rRNA from 1 species
CAGAGGUGUCAAACGUUGUCCGGAAUUAUUGGGCGUAAAGGGCGUGUAGGCGGCCGGGUAAGUGAGAUGUGAAAGCUCUGGGCUCAACCCAGGAAUUGCAUUUCAUACUGCUCGGCUCGAGAUUGGUAGAGGAUGGCGGAAUUCCAGGUGUAGCGGUGAAAUGCGUAGAUAUCUGGAGGAACACCUGUGGCGAAGGCGGCUAUCUGGUCCAAUUCUGACGCUGAGGCGCGAAAGGUAGGGGAGCAAACAGGAUUAGAUACCCUGGUAGUCCUACCCGUAAACGAUGAGUACUAGGUGUUGGAGGUAUCGACCCCUUCAGUGCCGUAGCUAACGCAAUAAGUACUCCGCCUGGGAACUACGGUCGCAAGACUG